CCUACGGGUGGCAGCAGUAGGGAAUCUUCCGCAAUGGACGAAAGUCUGACGGAGCAACGCCGCGUGAGCGAAGAUGGUCUUCGGAUCGUAAAGCUCUGUUGUUAGGGAAGAACAAGUACGGGAGGAAAUGACCGUACCUUGACGGUACCUGACGAGGAAGCCACGGCUAACUACGUGCCAGCAGCCGCGGCAAUACGUACGUGGCAAGCGGUGUCCGGACUUAUUGGGCGUAAAGCGCGCGCAGGCGGUCUUGUAAGUCUGAUGUGAAAUCUUACGGAUCAACCGCAAGCGGUCAUUGGAAACUGGGUGACUUGAGUGCAGAAGAGGGAAGCGGAAUUCCACGUGUCGCGGUGAAAUGCGUAGAGAUGUGGAGGAACCGCAGUGGCGAAGGCGGCUUUCUGGUCUGUACCUGACGCUGAGGCGCGAAAGCGUGGGUAGCAAACAGGAUUAGAUACCCUAGUAGUC
rnacentral:rRNA from 1 species